rnacentral:rRNA from 1 species
GACGAACGCUGGCGGCGUGCUUAACACAUGCAAGUCGAACGGAAAGGCCCUGCUUUUGUGGGGUGCUCGAGUGGCGAACGGGUGAGUAACACGUGAGUAACCUGCCCUUGACUUUGGGAUAACUUCAGGAAACUGGGGCUAAUACCGGAUAGGAGCUCCUGCUGCAUGGUGGGGGUUGGAAAGUUUCGGCGGUUGGGGAUGGACUCGCGGCUUAUCAGCUUGUUGGUGGGGUAGUGGCUUACCAAGGCUUUGACGGGUAGCCGGCCUGAGAGGGUGACCGGACACAUUGGGACUGGAAUACGGCCCAGACUACUACGGGAGGCAGAAGUGGGGAAUAGUGCACUAUGGGCGGAAGCCUGAUGCAGCAAAGCCGCGUGCGGGAUGACGGCCUUCGGGUUGUAAACCGCUUUCGCCUGUGACGAAGCGUGAGUGACGGUAAUGGGUAAAGAAGCACCGGCUAACUACGUG